rnacentral:ribozyme from 1 species
GGGGCGAAAGCCCCAGCCUUAAUGCAGCCACCGCAGGGUGAUGGUCACAAGCCCAUAAAAUGCAGAGUGAGGC